UCUACGAUGCAUAUUAUGGCGGUAUUCGAUGUGAGAGUGCAGUACUAGACAUCACGCGAGGUUUUCUCUCGCUGGCGGAUCUGCACUAAAUGCUGGGUAGCGCCACUAGCGGACGGGUCGAUGGUCAACGAGUCAGCAGUUACUACUCUUUUCUUCUUCAUUCUAGUUUCCUCGUUUUCCUAAAGGUUUCCGUGUACCAGUAUCUCAUAGUUUGUUUGGAAGUACUACCGCUUACAUGGAGUGGGAAGGUAUCGGAGCAAAAAGCCAGUUUGGGUAACGGAAGUCCUGUGCUUUGAACUAGAACGAACUGUUACUUGGAAGCACCCAGCUUGUGUUGCAGACAGGCGGCCGAUUCACUUUCCUCUACGCCUUGUUGUUCGAGCAUGGACAAUAUCCGUGUUAGUGCUCGACUGCUAUUCGCUGCCCUGAAUAUAAUAGUAUUCAUUGCGCUCGCACAAGCAAGACGGAAUGAAGUAGACCGACGGCGACGACGCCGAAUAGUACGAGUCCGGUUUAACGUCGCCUGUCCUCUCCCCGUUCCCACUCAGCAACCCGCCAUCGCUCGGCAACACUCCGCCACCCUUCGGGAGCUAUCUUUUACAGCGGCUCUCCGCGCCCGAGGGCAAUAACGUCAAGCCCUCAAUAAGACAGCCAGUCUAAACGAGAGCCAGUCGUGGGUCAUAGAGAAGCAGCAUGCAGAGAUUCUCGGGAGGCGGAAGACUCAACUCACGACCGCCAUUGACUGUCACAAACACAGGCGCAAUAUCGUGACCAUGCGCCGAAUUUUCAACGACAUUCUACGAAAAGUGUGAGAAGACACCGGGAAGUAUCUUACGGAGCAGCCGCUAAUGCACACUCAUACGAAAGCAGCAACAAACCAUCACCCGACCUCCGCUAGUGGAGAGCUUAUAAGGUUAGUCGUGUUCUCCGGCACUUGCUUCUCUACUGCAGCUUUCCUGUCAGCGUCCUGUUGUCUUGGCUGUUAGUGUGUGGAGUGCAGAAGUCAGCAAUUUACGGCUUCUUGCUACUCAAUUGUUUGGUUCACAACUACUCGUCAAUAUGCUGAUAUUUAGUUCACCUUCUCAACCGACUCGUAAAGCGUCCUACGGGUACGAAUUGACAGACACAACAACUGUUACAACUUCAUGGAUAUAGGCCAGGCCAAGAGCAGUUUGUGUACAGUGCAUUGGUGGUAGUACUUGCUGGCAGUACAAUACACUACAGCUGUGUGUGGGUCUACCUGUGAUGGAUGGCAGCAGCUUAGACAUCCGCAUCCAAACACUUCAAAUAGGUUUAGCCUGGAAAGAUCAUGCGGAGAGAAGCCAAGCUGAGCGCUGUGCAUAUCCAAGGAGCAGUCAGCGUAACAUACUCGCAAGUUGGAUAUGGCUCAAUGGAUGCGUGCUGCAACGUUCUCCAACCUUGAGAUGUGGCCUUCGUCCAUCUUCAAAAAAAAAGAAGAUGUGCUGGUUCUACUCAGUAGUAAUGUCAAUUAAUGACCACAAACGAUUAUUAGCCACAAACGUACGUACUAGUCAUUAACUAAUUGCACCCCUAACUCAGUCAAUAUCACAAGAAAACGAACAAUCCAAAUUCAAUAUCUACUGUGUUGUAAUUGUCUUUCUUUUCUUUUUUUGGUUGGAAUCUCGAUGUCCCAAUGUACUGUUGUCCUACUAGAAUAGCCAGGUGCCAUUCCACUGUCCAGUGUUCAUUCCUGAUAUGUUUUGUCCCACUACCCGUGUUCUGUGUACAAGUGUGCGUUUAUGCACCUGCUAUCAAUGCGUAUACAUGCAUGUGUUGUGUGUCAUCAGUGUUCUAACACCAGGCUCAAGGGAAAUACCCUUGUACGAGUUGCCAUGUGUAGCUCGACAGCA